UUUCGCAUACUCCCUCUACCUGCCGGAAUGUGGUAAAAUUCAAAGGGCAGGAUAUUGUGUUUUGACUUCACGCAUGCACCAUGCUUGACGAUGAGGAAGUCUGUGUGCUAUUGCGAAAGUUCUCGUUUUAACCUACAUCAUGGAGCAUUGGAAUGGGAGGCAUCCAAAUGCGAUUCUGCAGCACAGAAGAUUGGGACUGAAGGAGUACAAAACUAAGGCGUUAACGGGCUAUCAACUGCCGUGGCUUUAAUGCCUAGACACUCUAUGUGACAGAAGAUAUCUGUGUCUAAUCUUGAAUGAUACAUCUGAUGCGCAAGAUUCAGUCUUCACCUCACAAUAUUUGGAGAUAUGAAUUUUGACUUGUUCCACUUUGCUUUGCUUUUAUGUUUGCCAA